rnacentral:rRNA from 1 species
AUUGAACGCUGGCGGCAGGCUUAACACAUGCAAGUCGAGCGGGGUGAUGGUGCUUGCACUAUCACUUAGCGGCGGACGGGUGAGUAAUGCUUAGGAAUCUGCCUAUUAGUGGGGGACAACAUCUCGAAAGGGAUGCUAAUACCGCAUACGUCCUACGGGAGAAAGCAGGGGAUCACUUGUGACCUUGCGCUAAUAGCUGAGCCUAAGUCGGAUUAGCUAGUUGGUGGGGUAAAGGCCUACCAAGGCGACGAUCUGUAGCGGGUCUGAGAGGAUGCUCCGCCACACUGGGACUGGGACACGGCCCAGACUCCGACGGGAGGCAGCAGUGGGGAAUAUUGGACAAUGGGGGGAACCCUGAUCCAGCCAUGCCGCGUGUGUGAAGAAGGCCUUAUGGUUGUAAAGCACUUUAAGCGAGGAGGAGGCUCUUUUGGUUAAUACCCAAGAUGAGUGGACGUUACUCGCAGAAUAAGCACCGGCUAACUCUGUGCCAGCCGCCGCGGUAA